GGGCGCUUAGCUCAGUUGGUAGAGCGUUAGCCUUACAAGCUAAAAGUCAUAGGUUCGAGCCCUAUAGCGCCCACCA
rnacentral:tRNA from 1 species